rnacentral:SRP_RNA from 1 species
GCUGGGCGUGGUGGCGGGUGCCUGUAGUCCGAGCUACUUGGGAGGCUGAGGCAGGAGAAUUGCUUGAACCCAGGACGUGGAGGUUGCAGUGAGCUGAGAUCGCGCCACUGCACUCCAGCCUGGGCGACAGAGCAAGACCUUGUCUCAA